AUUGGAUUAAAUAAAACAUAUCAUUAAAUUACUUUCAUCUGCUUCUUUGUACUUUUUUAAAGCAGACACUAGUGUCGGGGGCGGAGACGGGUGGAGAAUCCCCGCAGUCCCUGGCCUGACUCUCCCGACAACACAGAAGAUUGUGGAAGAAUCAGACAGAGAUCGAAGUUGUACUUUUAUUCAGCAAGCAUGCAAGAGUACAGCUGCCUUUUCUCAGCGAGACAGCAAGGAGGCCGUGACCAGAUGUAGCCUUUAGUUUUGGACAUCUCAACCUCCAGAACUGUGAGCUGGAUAAACUUCAAUUGUUUGGAAUGUCCCCAAUCUACAGCAUUCUGUUAUUGCCACAGAAAAUGGACUACAACAUCAGGCAUUCUGGAGACAAAGUACUUCUGAUCUUGGGAAUGUUUGAGUGAUAAUGGCACCAGUCAUUCAAUGAUGUCCACUCACAUUGAGGGUGGACCUUUCUGUCAGUCUGCAGCCUACCAACUCACAUGUUAAUGUCCUCUGGAAACUCUCACAGACUGCUGUGGUGUGGACAUCCCCUCCAAAACUCACAUGUCAACAUAAACCCCCAGCAAAGCAAGGCAACUCCCUUUGGAAGUACUGAAAAGUCAUGGGUCUCACAGAUGUCUGGAAUUUUCCUCAUUACCAGUGCAUGACAGCUGCCUAAUCUGCUUAGACAGCUCAGCACUCACAGUGAAUACUAGCAGAUGACAAAAUGCACAAGCUGAGAAAUAUUAAUGGAAAAACUGAGAAGCAGCCCCCUGUGUAUAGCUCACAACUUGCUUUGCUGGACAUGAGGUGUAUAAGACUUACUUUGUCAGACUUAACAAAUGAACCUGACUUAUGUACAUUCUCAUUCUGGAAUGGAACUUGUUGAAAUGAUGUCAAAUGAUGUUGGAC
rnacentral:lncRNA from 1 species